rnacentral:rRNA from 1 species
ACGGCGAGUGAAGAGGGAAAAGCCCAAAUUUGUAAUCUGGCUCUUUCAGAGUCCGAGUUGUAAUUUUAAGAACUGUUUUCCGCGCUGGACCAUUUCUAAGUCUGUUGAAAAAUAGCAUCAUUGAGGGUGAUAAUCCCGUUCAUGAUAUGGACUACCAGUGCAAUGUGAUACAGCUUCUAAGAGUCGAGUUGUUUGGGAAUGCAGCUCAAAGUGGGUGGUAAAUUCCAUCUAAGGCUAAAUAUAGGUGAGAGACCGAUAGCAUACAAGUACCGUGAGGGAAAGAUGAAAAGAACUUUGGAAAGAGAGUUAACAGUACGUGAAAUUGUUGUAAGAGAAACAAUUAAAGUUAGCCUUGUGCUUGUUAGUUCAGCUCUUUAACUAGGGUGUAUUCUAAUGAUGUCACGGACCAACAUCAGUUUUUGGGUGCUGGAUAAGGGCUCCAGAAAUGUAGCAGUUUUGGCUGUGUUAUAGUCUGGGGUUUGGAUACAGUGCUUGGGACUGAGGAUAUCUGCAGCAAGC